rnacentral:rRNA from 1 species
GAUGAACGCUGGCGGCGUGCCUAAUACAUGCAAGUCGAGCGAACAGACGAGGAGCUUGCUCCUCUGACGUUAGCGGCGGACGGGUGAGUAACACGUGGAUAACCUACCUAUAAGACUGGGAUAACUUCGGGAAACCGGAGCUAAUACCGGAUAAUAUAUUGAACCGCAUGGUUCAAUAGUGAAAGACGGUUUUGCUGUCACUUAUAGAUGGAUCCGCGCCGCAUUAGCUAGUUGGUAAGGUAACGGCUUACCAAGGCAACGAUGCGUAGCCGACCUGAGAGGGUGAUCGGCCACACUGGAACUGAGACACGGUCCAGACUCCUACGGGAGGCAGCAGUAGGGAAUCUUCCGCAAUGGGCGAAAGCCUGAUGGAGCAACGCCGCGUGAGUGAUGAAGGUCUUCGGAUCGUAAAACGCUGUUAUUAGGGAAGAACAAAUGUGUAAGUAACUAUGCACGUCUUGACGGUACCUAAUCAGAAAGCCACGGCUAACUACGUG